AGCGGCGUGGCCAAGUGGUAAGGCAACGAGUUUUGGUCACGCUAUUCGGAGGUUCGAAUCCUUCCGUCCCAG
rnacentral:tRNA from 1 species